AGGACGAACGCUGGCGGCGUGCUUAACACAUGCAAGUCGAGCGGAAAGGCCUUUCGGGGUACUCGAGCGGCGAACGGGUGAGUAACACGUGAGUAAUCUGCCCAUCGCUUCAGGAUAGCCAUCGGAAACGGUGAUUAAUACUGGAUAUGACAUUCCUUCGCAUGUUGGGCGUGGAAAGUUUUUUCGGCGGUGGAUGUGCUCGCGGCCUAUCAGCUUGUUGGUGGGGUAAUGGCCUACCAAGGCUUUGACGGGUAGCCGGCCUGAGAGGGUGACCGGCCACACUGGGACUGAGACACGGCCCAGACUCCUACGGGAGGCAGCGAGUGGGAAUAUGGACAAUGGGCGGAAGCCUGAGUCCAGCAACGCCGCGUGAGGAUGACGGCCUUCGGGUUGUAAACCUCUUUCAGCACAGACGAGUUUUAGUCGUUUUGGUGUAAGUG
rnacentral:rRNA from 1 species